GUAGUCUGCAACCCGACUACAUGAAGCCGGAAUCGCUAGUAAUCGCGGAUCAGAACGCCNCGGUGAAUACGUUCCCGGGUCUUGUACACACCGCCCGUCACACCAUGGGAGCCGGGAAUGCCCGAAGUCUGUGACCGAACCCGGAAGGGGAGGGGCAGCCGAAGGCAGGCCCGGUGACUGGGUGAAGUCGUAACAAGGUAUC
rnacentral:rRNA from 1 species